rnacentral:rRNA from 1 species
AUGGAUGGUCAUAGUGCUAGCUUGGAGGAGAUAGAAGAAUAUCACAUGAUGGUUAGUCAGAUGUUUGCAAGCGAGAAGCAAGGUUACGAGCACUACAACAGAUAUGCAAGAGCAAAAGGUUUUAGUGUCAGAUUGGAUGACAAGGAGUACGUGAAGGGCACCAGAGAGGUGAAAGCAAGACAUUUCUGCUGCUCUAAAGAAGGGCACCGACUGGAGAAGUACUUUCAAGCGACUGACCAAAAAAGGGAGCCACGGGCGCUGACCCGUUGUGGUUGCAAAGCUAUGCUUGAGAUCCUACAUGAUGCAGGCAGGGGUCAGUGGUUUGUUAAGAGGUUUGUUGAUGUCCAUAACCACCCGCUAGCCGACCCGGACCAAUCUGCUUUUCUACGGUCUCACCGUCGGAUGAACGAUGCUCACAAGGCUGAUGCAGUGGAAUACGGACUUGGUGGUCUCCGUACGUUCCAAAUCAUGAAUGUGGCAAAGAAACAAAAUGGCGGCUAUCCUCAUGUUGGGUAUAUUUCUCGAGACCUCUACAAUUUCUUCGCCAGGUACAAGAAAAAAAGAAUCUUAGGCAGGGAUGCUGACUUUGUGCUGAACCAUAUGAGAGUACAGGAAGAACGAGAUGCUGAGUUUUUCUUCAAAUACACCACAGAUGAUGAAGGACAUCUUCGAAAUUUAUUCUGGGCAGAUUCACAGUCUCAGAUUGAUUAUGAAGCAUUCGGCGAUGUAGUUGUGUUUGACAGCACUUAUCGGGUCAACCGCUACAAUCUCCCUUUUGUUGCAUCUGUUGGACUGAACCAUCAUCGUAGUACUGUUGUUUUCGGGAUUGGUGUUGUUUCAGAUGAGACCCACAAGUCAUACGAGUGGCUACUUCAGACCUUUGUAGAGGCAAUGGGUCAUAAGGAGCCCAUAUCUGUUAUCACAGAUGGAGACUCGGCAAUGAGAAAAGCAAUUAGGAAGAUUUUGCCAAGGACAGACCAUCGGCUAUGCAGUUGGCACAUUGAGCAGAACAUGAUACGCCACCUGCGUAAUCCAAUGCUUGAUGACUUCAGAAAACCCAUAUACUGCCGAAUGGGAGUUUACCAGUUUGAGAAAUCAUGGGCUGAGUUCAAGGCGAAUUAUGAGAUCGAAGAGGAGAAUGAAUGGAUGUCCAGAAUGUACAAACUUAGGAAAAAGUGGGCCGCAGCUUAUACCAAGGGACGAUAUUUCUUGGGUAUGCAGAGCAACCAGCGUAGUGAGAGUCUGAACUCUAGGCUCCACAAUCAUCUGGACCGGAAAAUGUCGUUGGUUGAUGUGGUGGAGCACACUGAGCACUGCAUAUCACGUAUGCGGAGGAACGAGGCCGAGUUGGAUGCAAUAUGUUCGCAGUCAGUUCCUUUCACUAGAAUAGAUGCUUGUCUGUUGGAGAUAAAUGCUGCUCAUAUUUAUACACCAAAAAUUUUCAAGAUGGUAAGAGAUUGUAUCCGGAGAUCAUGUGCAUGGGUGAUUCAAGAGCAAACAACAGUAAAUGACUUGGUCAGGUAUGAAGUAGUGUUAAAAGAUGGAGCGGAAGGAGGGAGCAGACGUCUGUUCUCUGUAGAGUGUUCUUUUGAUGGUUCGUUGAUGAAUGGUGCCUUUUGUCCUUGCCGUAAGAUCGAGUGUGAAGCCAUCCCUUGCGUGCACAUUUUUGCUGUUCUGGUUUUCAUAGGGGCAGCGACCAUUCCUCCAUGUUGUGUUAGCAAAAGGUGGACAAUGGAAGCCAAGGCUGCAUUCGUGUCAGUGAGAAAUGCAAAUACACAUGUGUGGUCAGAAAAGAUGAGUCGUUACCGUGAACUGAGAAACAUAGCUAGUAUGGCCCUAUUCAAAGUAUCAAAAAGCGGGGAGCGUUCGUAG